rnacentral:rRNA from 1 species
UACAGAGGUCUCAAGCGUUGUUCGGAUUCAUUGGGCGUAAAGGGUGCGUAGGCGGCGCGGUAAGUCGGGUGUGAAAGCCCCGGGCUCAACCUGGGAAUUGCAUUCGAGACUGCGUAGCUAGGGUGCGGAAGAGGGAAGCGGAAUUUCCGGUGUAGCGGUGAAAUGCGUAGAUAUCGGAAGGAACACCAGUGGCGAAAGCGGCUUCCUGGUCCAGCACCGACGUUCAGGCACGAAAGCGUGGGGAGCAAACAGG